rnacentral:rRNA from 1 species
GAUCCUGGCUCAGGAUGAACGCUAGCUACAGGCUUAACACACGCAAGUCGAGGGGCGGCAUGGUCUUAGCUUGCUAAGGCCGAUGGCGACCGGCGCACGGGUGAGUAACACGUAUCCAACCUGCCGUCUACUCUUGGACAGCCUUCUGAAAGGAAGAUUAAUACAAGAUGGCAUCAUGAGUUCACAUGUUCACAUGAUUAAAGGUAUUCCGGUAGACGAUGGGGAUGCGUU